GGGUCAGUAGGUUGGUCGUGCCACCGGUACGUACUGGUCACACUGAUUCCUCCUUCCUGAAGAACCGUAAUGCCAUUAAUUUGGUGUUGCGGGGAAACAGGACUGUUACUUUGAAAAAAUUAGAGUGUUUAAAGCAGUCUAACGCUUGAAUACAUUAGCAUGGAAUAAUGAAAUAGGACGAUCGAUCCUAUUUUGUUGGUUUCUAGGAUUGACGUA
rnacentral:rRNA from 1 species